rnacentral:rRNA from 1 species
CCAGGCUUGAAGAGCGAGUGACCAUCGGCGAAAGCCGACUUCCGCAAGGACACUCGUAGAGGUGCUGCAUGGCUGUCGUCAGCUCGUGUCGUGAGAUGUUGGGUUAAGUCCCGCAACGAGCGCAACCCUUGUUUGCUGUUGCCAUCACGUGAUGGUGGGCACUCUGCAAAGACUGCCGGUGAUAAACCGGAGGAAGGUGGGGAUGACGUCAAGUCAGCAUGGCCUUUAUGUCUGGGGCUACACACGUGCUACAAUGGCCGAUACAAACCGUCGCGAUACCGCAAGGUGGAGCUAAUCGGAGAAAGUCGGUCUCAGUUCGGAUAGCAGGCUGCAACUCGCCUGCUUGAAGUUGGAAUCGCUAGUAAUCGCGGAUCAGCACGCCGCGGUGAAUACGUUCCCGGGCCUUGUACACACCGCCCGUCACAUCACGAAAGCCGGUUGUACUAGAAGUCGCCACACCAACCCGCAAGGGAGGGAGGUGCCUAAGGUAUGGCCGGUGAUUGGGGUG